GGGAUCGCCCUUCCUACGGGAGGCAGCAGUGAGGAAUAUGGGACAAUGGGCGCAAGCCUGAUCCAGCCAUGCCGCGUGCAGGAUGACGGUCCUAUGGAUUGUAAACUGCUUUUGUACGAGAAGAAACACUCCGACGUGUCGGAGCUUGACGGUAUCGUAAGAAUAAGGAUCGGCUAACUCCGUGCCAGCAGCCGCGGUAAUAAGGGCGAUCC
rnacentral:rRNA from 1 species